GCCAUGCCAUGGCUGUACCAUCCUGUCGGAUAGCUUAUCAGACUGAUGUUGACUGUUGGAUCUCAUGGCAACAACAGUCGGUAGGCUGUCUGACAUUUUGGUAUCUCUCAUCUGACCCUUC
rnacentral:precursor_RNA from 12 species